rnacentral:rRNA from 1 species
CCUACGGUGCGCAGCAGUGGGGAAUAUUGGGCAAUGGGCGCAAGCCUGACCCAGCAACGCCGCGUGAAGGAAGAAGGCUUUCGGGUUGUAAACUUCUUUUAAGAGGGAAGAGCAGAAGACGGUACCUCUUGAAUAAGCCACGGCUAACUACGUGCCAGCAGCCGCGGUAAUACGUCGGUGGCAAGCGUUGUCCGGAUUUACUGGGUGUAAAGGGCGUGUAGCCGGGCUGACAAGUCAGAUGUGAAAUUCCGGGGCUCAACCCCGGACCUGCAUUUGAAACUGUUGGUCUUGAGUAUCGGAGAGGCAGGCUGAAUUCCGAGUGUAGCGGUGAAAAGCGUAGAGAUUAGGAGGAACACCAGGGGCGAAGGCGGGCGGCUGGACGACAACUGACGGGGAGGCGCGAAAGCGUGGGGAGCAAACAGGAUUAGAUACCCCGGUAGUC